GUCUAUUGCCAUGCUACCCUGAACAAGCCCAGUGUCUGAUCUCAGAAGCUAAGCAGGGUUGGGCCUGGUUAGUACUUGGAUGGUGAGACCACCUAGGAAGACCAGGUGCUGUAGGCA
rnacentral:rRNA from 1 species